GACGAACGCUGGCGGCGUGCCUAAUACAUGCAAGUCGAACGCAGUGGUGCCGGGUGAGUAACACGUUGGUAACCUCCCAUCAGAGGGGAUAACCCUUGGCAACAGGUGCUAAACCGAUACUGAUGGAUGGUCCCGCGGGGCAUUAGCUAGUUGGGGAGGUCACGGCUGACCAAGGCCACGAUGCAUAGCCGGUCUGAGAGGGUGAUCGGCCACACUGGGACUGAGACACGGCCCAGACUCCUACGGGAGGCAGCAGUAGGGAAUAUUGGGCAAUGGGCGAAAGUCUGACCGAGCAACGCCGCGUGAGUGAAGAAGGUUUUCGGAUCGUAAAGCACUGUAGUUAGAGAAGCGGUAUCUAACCAGAAAGCCACGGCUAACUACGUGCCAGCAGCCGCGGUAAUUC
rnacentral:rRNA from 1 species